rnacentral:rRNA from 1 species
AGAGUUUGAUCCUGGCUCAGGAUGAACGCUGGCGGUCUGCUUAACACAUGCAAGUCGAACGGAGUAGCAAUACUUAGUGGCGGACGGGUGAGUAACGCGUGAGAAUCUACCUUCAGGACGGAGACAACAGUUGGAAACGACUGCUAACCCCCGAUGUACCGUAAGGGCAAAUAUUUAUAGCCUGAAGAAGAGCUCGCGUCCGAUUAGCUAGUUGGAGAGGUAACAGCUCACCAAGGCGACGAUCGGUAGCUGGUCUGAGAGGACGAUCAGCCACACUGGGACUGAGACACGGCCCAGACUCCUACGGGAGGCAGCAGUGGGGAAUUUUCCGCAAUGGGCGAAAGCCUGACGGAGCAAUACCGCGUGAGGGAGGAAGGCUCUUGGGUCGUAAACCUCUUUUAUUAGGGAAGAAGAUCUGACGGUACCUAAUGAAUCAGCAUCGGCUAACUCCGUGCCAGCAGCCGCGGUAAUACGGAGGAUGCAAGCGUUAUCCGGAAUCAUUGGGCGUAAAGCGUCCGCAGGUGGCCAGAUAAGUCUGUUGUUAAAGCAUGGGGCUUAACCCCAUAUCGGCAAUGGAAACUGUUCGGCUAGAGUAUGGUAGGGGUCAGGGGAAUUCCCAGUGUAGCGGUGAAAUGCGUAGAUAUUGGGAAGAACACCGGUGGCGAAAGCGCCUGACUGGGCCAUAACUGACACUCAUGGACGAAAGCUAGGGGAGCGAAAGGGAUUAGAUACCCCUGUAGUCCUAGCCGUAAACGAUGGACACUAGGUGUUGCCCGUAUCGACCCGGGCGGUGCCGUAGCUAACGCGUUAAGUGUCCCGCCUGGGGAGUACGCACGCAAGUGUGAAACUCAAAGGAAUUGACGGGGGCCCGCACAAGCGGUGGAGUAUGUGGUUUAAUUCGAUGCAACGCGAAGAACCUUACCAGGAUUUGACAUCCCGCGAAUUCCCUUGAAAGGGGGAAGUGCCUUCGGGAGCGCGGAGACAGGUGGUGCAUGGCUGUCGUCAGCUCGUGUCGUGAGAUGUUGGGUUAAGUCCCGCAACGAGCGCAACCCACGUUUUUAGUUGCCAUCAUUUAGUUGGGCACUCUAGAGAGACUGCCGGUGACAAACCGGAGGAAGGUGUGGAUGACGUCAAGUCAGCAUGCCCCUUACGUUCUGGGCUACACACGUACUACAAUGCUUCGGACAGAGGGUCGCCAGGCCGCGAGGUCGAGCUAAUCCCGUAAACCGAGGCUCAGUUCAGAUUGCAGGCUGCAACUCGCCUGCAUGAAGGCGGAAUCGCUAGUAAUCGCCGGUCAGCAUACGGCGGUGAAUACGUUCCCGGGCCUUGUACACACCGCCCGUCACACCAUGGGAGUUGGUCACGCCCGAAGUGGUUACCCUAACCGUAACGAGGGGGACCCCUAAGGCAGGGCUGAUGACUGGGGUGAAGUCGUAACAAGGUAACC